rnacentral:rRNA from 1 species
CAGCCGCCGCGGGAAUACAGAGGGUGCGAGCGUUAAUCGGAUUUACUGGGCGUAAAGCGUGCGUAGGCGGCUUUUUAAGUCGGAUGUGAAAUCCCUGAGCUUAACUUAGGAAUUGCAUUCGAUACUGGGAAGCUAGAGUAUGGGAGAGGAUGGUAGAAUUCCAGGUGUAGCGGUGAAAUGCGUAGAGAUCUGGAGGAAUACCGAUGGCGAAGGCAGCCAUCUGGCCUAAUACUGACGCUGAGGUACGAAAGCAUGGGGAGCAAACAGGAUUAGAUACCCGCGUAGUCCCUGUCUCUUAUAA